rnacentral:rRNA from 1 species
UUACUAGAGCAAAGGAUAGACAGCGCCCGCGGAGCUCGCUCCCGGGGCCACCCUACUCCGGUAGGGUUUAGAGUCGUCGGGCCUCUCGGAGAAGCUCGGUCCUGAACUCCACCCUUGAAUAAACUACCUUUGUUGCUUUGGCGGGCCGCCUCGUGCCAGCGGCUUCGGCUGUUGAGUGCCCGCCAGAGGACCACAACUCUUGUUUUUAGUGAUGUCUGAGUACUAUAUAAUAGUUAAAACUUUCAACAACGGAUCUCUUGGUUCUGGCAUCGAUGAAGAACGCAGCGAAAUGCGAUAAGUAAUGUGAAUUGCAGAAUUCAGUGAAUCAUCGAAUCUUUGAACGCACAUUGCGCCCUCUGGUAUUCCGGGGGGCAUGCCUGUUCGAGCGUCAUUAUAACCACUCAAGCUCUCGCUUGGUAUUGGGGUUCGCGGUUUCGCGGCUCCUAAAAUCAGUGGCGGUGCCUAUCGGCUCUACGCGUAGUAAUACUCCUCGCGAUUGAGUCCGGUAGGUCUACUUGCCAGCAACCCCUAAUUUUUUAAGGUUGACCUCGGAUCAGGUAGGGAUACCCGCUGAACUUAAGCAUAUCAAUAAGCGGAGGAAAAGAAACCAACAGGGAUUACCUCAGUAACGGCGAGUGAAGCGGUAACAGCUCAAAUUUGAAAGCUGGCUCUUUUAGGGUCCGCGUUGUAAUUUGUAGAGAUGCUUCGGGUGUGGCCCCGGUCUAAGUUCCU